UACGUAGGGUGCAGGCGUUAAUCGGAAUUACUGGGCGUAAAGCGUGCGCAGGCGGUUUGCUAAGAGAGAUGUGAAAUCCCCGGGCUUAACCUGGGAACUGCGUUUCUAACUGGCAGGCUAGAGUGUGGCAGAGGGGGGUGGAAUUCCGCGUGUAGCAGUGAAAUGCGUAGAGAUGUGGAGGAACACCGAUGGCGAAGGCAGCCCCCUGGGCUAACACUGACGCUCAUGCACGAAAGCGUGGGGAGCAAACAGG
rnacentral:rRNA from 1 species